rnacentral:rRNA from 1 species
AUUGAACGCUGGCGGCAGGCCUAACACAUGCAAGUCGAGCGGAGCGGCGGACGGGUGAGUAAUGCCUAGGAAUCUGACUGGUAGUGGGGGAUAACGUCAGGAAACGGGCGCUAAUACCGUAUACUAUCAGCUGAGCCGAGGUGGGAUUAGCUAGUUGGUUGGGUAAAGGCCUACCAAGGCGACGACCCGUAACUGGUCUGAGAGGAUGAUCAGUCACAAUGGAACUGGGACACGGUCCAGACCCCUACGGGAGGCAGCAGUGGGGAAUAUUGGACAAUGGGCGAAAGCUGGAUCCAGCCAUGCCGCGUGUGUGAAGAAGGUCUUCGGAUUGUAAAGCACUUUAAGUUGGGAGGCGUUACCAACAGAAUAAGCACCGGCUAACUUCGUGCCAGCAGCCGCGGUAAUAC